rnacentral:lncRNA from 1 species
AGAGCAAGUAAACACGUGCGGACCAGCAGAUGCUGAACAUAUUUUAUUUCUAGACUACUAGCUUGCUAACGACGUUUUAGUAAUAUAAGAUUAAUUCUUUGCUUAUAUUCCUCGAUCCGCAACUCUCUGCAAAAUAAUGAAAUGAAACCCUCUUAAGCAUUUGCAAAUGCUGUGAGUAGUGGUUUUAAAAGAAGUCAACGCGUUUUCCGAAAAAUUUAUUAUAUAAC